CACCAAGAAUGAAUGCACAAGAGACACUGCUAAUGUCCUCUUUCUAUGGUUAAAUUCCGUAGCUUUC
rnacentral:tRNA from 1 species